rnacentral:rRNA from 1 species
CACUCCUACGGGAGGCAGCAGUGGGGAAUAUUGGACAAUGGGCGCAAGCCUGAUCCAGCCAUGCCGCGUGAGUGAUGAAGGCCCUAGGGUUGUAAAGCUCUUUCACCGGUGAAGAUAAUGACGGUAACCGGAGAAGAAGCCCCGGCUAACUUCGUGCCAGCAGCCGCGGUAAUACGAAGGGGGCUAGCGUUGUUCGGAUUUACUGGGCGUAAAGCGCACGUAGGCGGACUAUUAAGUCAGGGGUGAAAUCCCGGGGCUCAACCCCGGAACUGCCUUUGAUACUGGUAGUCUUGAGUUCGAGAGAGGUGAGUGGAAUUCCGAGUGUAGAGGUGAAAUUCGUAGAUAUUCGGAGGAACACCAGUGGCGAAGGCGGCUCACUGGCUCGAUACUGACGCUGAGGUGCGAAAGCGUGGGGAGCAAACAGGAUUAGAUACCCUAGUAGUCCCAUGAU